AUACCACUUGUUGCCUCGGCGGAUCAGCCCGCUCCCGGUAAAACGGGACGGCCCGCCAGAGGACCCCUAAAACUCUGUUUCUAUAUGUAACUUCUGAGUAAAACCAUAAAUAAAUCAAAACUUUCAACAACGGAUCUCUUGGUUCUGGCAUCGAUGAAGAACGCAGCAAAAUGCGAUAAGUAAUGUGAAUUGCAGAAUUCAGUGAAUCAUCGAAUCUUUGAACGCACAUUGCGCCCGCCAGUAUUCUGGCGGGCAUGCCUGUUCGAGCGUCAUUUCAACCCUCAAGCACAGCUUGGUGUUGGGACUCGCGUUAAUUCGCGUUCCUCAAAUUGAUUGGCGGUCACGUCGAGCUUCCAUAGCGUAGUAGUAAAACCCUCGUUACUGGUAAUCGUCGCGGCCACGCCGUUAAACCCCAACUUCUGAAUGUUGACCUCGGAUCAGGUAGGAAUACCCGCUGAACUUAAGCAUAUCA
rnacentral:rRNA from 1 species